GAUGAACGCUGGCGGCGUGCUUAACACAUGCAAGUCGAACGGAAAGGCCCAAGCUUGCUUGGGUACUCGAGUGGCGAACGGGUGAGUAACACGUGGGUGAUCUGCCCUGCACUUCGGGAUAAGCCUGGGAAACUGGGUCUAAUACCGGAUAGGACCACAUCUUGGAUGGUGUGGUGGAAAGGUUUUCGGUGUGGGAUGAGCUCGCGGCCUAUCAGCUUGUUGGUGGGGUAAUGGCCUACCAAGGCGUCGACGGGUAGCCGGCCUGAGAGGGUGGACGGCCACAUUGGGACUGAGAUACGGCCCAGGCUCCUACGGGAGGCAGCAGGGGGGAAUAUUGCACAAUGGGCGCAAGCCUGAUGCAGCGACGCCGCGUGGGGGAUGACGGCCUUCGGGUUGUAAACUCCUUUCGCUAGGGACGAAGCGUUAUGUGACGGUACCUGGAGAAGAAGCACCGGCUAACUACGUG
rnacentral:rRNA from 1 species